rnacentral:rRNA from 1 species
UACGUAGGUGGCAAGCGUUGUCCGGAUUUACUGGGCGUAAAGAGCGCGCAGGCGGUCGUAUAAGUCGAAUGUGAAAGCCCCUGGCUCAACUAGGGAGAGUCAUUCGAUACUGUUCGACUCGAAGGCAGGAGAGGGAAGUGGAAUUCCGGUGUAGUGGUGAAAUGCGUAGAUAUCCGGAGGAACACCAGUGGCGAAGGCGGCUCGCUGGCCGGUCCUGACGCUGAGACGCGAAGGCGUGGGGAGCGAACGGG